rnacentral:rRNA from 1 species
GACGAACGCUGGCGGCGUGCCUAAUACAUGCAAGUAGGACGCAGUUGCGAACGGGUGAGUAACGCGUAGGUAACUACCUAUUAGAGGGGGAUAACUAUUGGAAACGAUAUCUAAUCCCGCAUACUAGUAGAUGGACCUGCGUUGUAUUAGCUAGUAGGUAGGGUAAUGACCUACCUGGGCAACGAUACAUAGCCGACCGGAGAGGGGGAUCGGCAACACGGUGACUGAGACACGGCCAAGACUCCUACGGGAGGCAGCAGUAGGGAAUCUUCGGCAAUGGAGGGAGCCCUGACCGAGCAACGCCGCGUGAGGGAAGAAGGUUUUCGGAUCGUAAAGCUCUGUUGUUAAGGAAGCGGUACUUAACCAGAAAUGGACGGCUAACUACGUGCCAGCAGCCGCGGCAAUUC